CAGUAGCCGCGGUAAUACGAAGGGUGCAAGCGUUAAUCGGAAUUACUGGGCGUAAAGCGUGCGUAGGCGGUGAGUUAAGUCUGCUGUGAAAUCCCCGGGCUCAACCUGGGAAUGGCAGUGGAUACUGGCUCGCUAGAGUGUGUCAGAGGAUGGUGGAAUUCCCGGUGUAGCGGUGAAAUGCGUAGAGAUCGGGAGGAACACCAGUGGCGAAGGCGGCCAUCUGGGACAACACUGACGCUGAGGCACGAAAGCGUGGGGAGCAAACAGGACUAGAUACCCGGGUAGUCCCUGUCUCUUAUAC
rnacentral:rRNA from 1 species